GCUAGUCAUUUUAGAAGCUCUUCUCGUGAAAAAUUCUCUCAGAGCUAAAUUCUUGUUUGGUAAGUGAACAACUUUUUGAAGAGAAAUUUUUAUCUUGUUCAUCCUCAACAUGCAUUAUUGUGUUAAUAAUUAUUUAAUCAAUUCUCUUUUAGAAUGAAGAACAACCACACUGCAGCUGUUCCGAUGUUCAUUACUUUGCGAGAACGAUUAUGAAAUCUACGACUAAGAAUUUAUCUCGCCUUUGAAUUCCUUGCCUGCAAGGUGGCGUCGAAUACAACGACGAAGUGAUUGGUUUCACAACCAAAGAAACCUUCUGUAACGCGAAGCCGUGGAGACUUUGAAUAGUGGCCCAGUUUGAAUACCACGACAACGACAACGAGAUGGUUGCCGAAAUGCUUGCAACUCGCGACUGAACGCCAGAUCAAAAUCAUCUCAAUCUGUUGUGUUCUUCACCGUCGGCCAACUGCCACACUAAUUGUGUCGUCGACGCCCAGACCAGCAUUCGUUAGAGCGAGCUUGCAGCAAGACCAGCAUGUGUUUCGUUUAUACCAACACCGUUCAGCUCGAUUAAACAACGUGGGCAAGAUGACGAUGCUGUCUCGGCAUGCUUUAUACAAGGUAAAAUCUCAUGAUCAUUUUAAGACAAAUACAACACACCGUCUUUAACUUUGAUUUGAAC